rnacentral:rRNA from 1 species
CCUACGGGUGGCAGCAGUGAGGAAUAUUGGUCAAUGGACGAGAGUCUGAACCAGCCAAGUAGCGUGAAGGAUGACUGCCCUAUGGGUUGUAAACUUCUUUUAUAUGGGAAUAAAAUGUUCCACGUGUGGGAUUUUGUAUGUACCAUAUGAAUAAGGAUCGGCUAACUCCGUGCCAGCAGCCGCGGUAAUACGGAGGAUCCGAGCGUUAUCCGGAUUUAUUGGGUUUAAAGGGAGCGUAGGUGGAUUGUUAAGUCAGUUGUGAAAGUGUGCGGCUCAACCGUAAAAUUGCAGUUGAAACUGGCAGUCUUGAGUACAGUAGAGGUGGGCGGAAUUCGUGGUGUAGCGGUGAAAUGCUUAGAUAUCACGAAGAACUCCGAUUGCGAAGGCAGUUCACUGGACUGCAACUGACACUGAGGCUCGAAAGUGUGGGUAUCAAACAGGAUUAGAGACCCUGGUAGUC